GUUAAUAAGCCCCAUGAAGUUACCCCACAAGCCCUGAGUAACUCGAGCUUCAGAGAACCCUGCUGCUCAUUAACACCGAAGUUCACAUAGUAGCUCAGCAGUGUAACCGGCUACUAUACCAGACGCUCGAUAUCCUUGCCUGGAUUCCCGGUGCUCUUUUUAUUUUAAAUUUAAGCUGUCACUGAGCGGGUGAGACUAUUCAGACCUCUGAGAGCAGAAAGAGCCCAACAGUCCCGCCUCCUUGGCCUUUAGGGAAAAGUGGCGGCUUUAAAGCUCUAAAGACAUGUGGUUUGUUUUGGAGAGAAGGCCGGAAUCAGCAGACCUUUCUCUGCCCCCUCUGUCGCCGCUUCAGGUCGCUCGGGCUCUGUUGCUGGGGCAAGCGCCGUCUCCGCCUCUGCUCGGGUCCUCUUAAGUCAAACAAGCGCCGCCUUGGCCCUGGGAGCAGAGGAACGCGCCUGUUUGCAGGCAGGCAGGCAGGCAGGCAGGGGGCGGCUGCCUGAGAGAUCUUAAUACAUGUGUCUGAGAAAAUGAAGCUCAGUUCAACAAUAAAACAGCUGCAGCACUGGGGGACUGGAGAAGACCUGCCCUGGGUGAGAGUACUUGAGCAUCUGGGUGCUUGCUUGCUUGGUCCUCUGGGUUGCUGUCAGUUGAGACUGAGGUCCCAGCACAUUGCUAUUCCUCCAGUUGUAAAAGAACCUUGCCUCACUGACAUUGGGGAUGGCUGGACUGAAAACACCAAGCAAAUAUGUCUGCAUGCAAUUUUCUCCCAUUUGUGCAGAUACAUUCUGCCAAGGAGCGUAGAGCAAAGAAAGACCUUUAAAACUGAGGGUAAAGUUAUUGCUACACUUUUUUUUUUUUUAAAGAUGGGAUCCAGGUAAAAUACUGAAGGCCUCUUAUUUCCAAAUUCUGAUCUGCAAAUAUAAUACAUGCUGAGUUACAAGCUGUAUUCAUCUCCUUUUCUGGUAUUCCAGAAAGUAAAUAAUAACAUAGAAAUUAAAAACAAAGCCUUGUAAAAAUGUACCGAGAAAGAAUAGUUCGUGGAUCAGAGACAUGCAAGGCCCCACAGUAUGUUAGGUGUGUUUAAUGUAGCCCCAACCUCUUACUCUGGCUUUGAUCUAUCAGUGUUAUGUAGGCUUUUAAUCAAAUGUAGUAACAGACAUAUUUUAAUCAUUCUAAAAUUGUGAUGAAUUUUUUGUACAGAGUGGAAUAAGUCAAUGUUGCACAUUGUAGUGGACUCCUGUAUUACUUUAUUUUUUAAUUAUUGACUUGCUGUUGUGUGUGCCUCUGUAAAAAUUAAGGGAAUGAACUGUGGAAUAUUAAGGGGCCUCUUAAAAUGCAUAUAGGCUUGUGUAUUGCAUUAUGUAAUAGGCAGAUUGUUGUUCUUUCAUUAGACUGUGACUUAAAAUCCUCUUAUUGCGUUCACAGUAUGUCUCUUCAGUUACUCAGAAUAUGCUUUUUGUUUCAAGAGACUUGUUAAGGUGAAGAAAAGUGAAACAGUAUUUUGUACACAGGCUAAAUUGGAUGUGAGGGGGAGGGAUAAGAAGAAACUUAUAUAAAACAAGUGGCUCCCCAAUGGAGUGUUUACUUCCUUUUGGCUUGAACUUCAAUGCUGGUUGUUUGAAAACACCAGUUCAAGCUGCUUUUCUUGCUACGUGGUUCUUAGUAAGUUCGCCAGUAAAUAUGUAUUGGAAAACAGCAAAGCACACUCCACUGACACAGGCGUCUACAUGGAUUUUUCAGGCAAAGUAUAUACUUACAAAUAUAUGGAUACAAAAUAUGUAAAUAAAAUCUAAAUGCAUUGGC